rnacentral:rRNA from 1 species
AGAGUUUGAUCCUGGCUCAGGAUGAACGCUAGCUACAGGCUUAACACAUGCAAGUCGAGGGGCAGCAUGACGAUAGCUUGCUAUUGUCGAUGGCGACCGGCGCACGGGUGAGUAACGCGUAUCCAACCUUCCCGUUGCUAGGGGAUAACCUUGCGAAAGUAAGACUAAUACCCUAUGAUGUUCUUCGCAGGCAUCUAAAGAGAACCAAAGAUUUAUCGGCAACGGAUGGGGAUGCGUCUGAUUAGGUUGUUGGCGGGGUAACGGCCCACCAAGCCUACGAUCAGUAGGGGUUCUGAGAGGAAGGUCCCCCACAUUGGAACUGAGACACGGUCCAAACUCCUACGGGAGGCAGCAGUGAGGAAUAUUGGUCAAUGGACGGAAGUCUGAACCAGCCAAGUAGCGUGCAGGAUGACGGCCCUAUGGGUUGUAAACUGCUUUUAUGUGGGAAUAAAGUGAGGGACGUGUCCCUUUUUGUAGGUACCACAUGAAUAAGGACCGGCUAAUUCCGUGCCAGCAGCCGCGGUAAUACGGAAGGUCCGGGCGUUAUCCGGAUUUAUUGGGUUUAAAGGGAGCGUAGGCCGUCUUUUAAGCGUGUUGUGAAAUACUGUCGCUCAACGACAGAGGUGCAGCGCGAACUGGGAGACUUGAGUGCGCGGAAUGCAGGCGGAAUUCGUCGUGUAGCGGUGAAAUGCUUAGAUAUGACGAAGAACUCCGAUUGCGAAGGCAGCUUGCAGUAGCGUAACUGACGCUGAAGCUCGAAAGUGCGGGUAUCGAACAGGAUUAGAUACCCUGGUAGUCCGCACGGUAAACGAUGGAUGCUCGCUGUGUGCCCCUGGGUACGCGGCCAAGCGAAAGCGUUAAGCAUCCCACCUGGGGAGUACGCCGGCAACGGUGAAACUCAAAUG